rnacentral:misc_RNA from 1 species
GUGAAAACUUUCCCUUCACCACCCAUCUGAUUUCUGUUCACUUUUCUUCAAAAGCGUGAGAGAAAAACAGGGUGUGCUUGAUAUCAAGAAAAAGAUUCAAUUUUUGAGGGAUAUAAGAAGAUGGAUCUGAUGUUAAAAAGGAAAGAGUCUGACUGAGGACACAGGAGUGACGGCAAACCAAAAAGGAGGCGGGGCCUGGGCUGCGGAGUGAAG